ACCCGUGUGAUGGAAUGGCAGACGUCCCGCACUCAGGAUGUGGAUUUUGCGGGUUCGAAUCCCGCUGCGGGUA
rnacentral:tRNA from 1 species